CCAAUCACAAGAAAAAGAAAAGUCUUAACUUCUGGAGGUUCCUACGUAUGAGUAUUUUUUCGUGAGCUUGAUUAGGCUUUCACCUAGCAUUUAAGAUUCAGAGUAUAAACUGUCCUAAGCUGUUCCCAAAUCUAAACAGAUAAGGAUUAGAAAAAUCAACUUCUAUACAUUUGAAGUCAGUUCAGAUCCAGCAGGAGAAUACUGACAUCCAACUGUCUAAGUUCUGCUUCUGAAAGAGCCUGAAGACAAAGGGUAGAGCACUCUCUUCCCAGCAUUCUAUUCCUUUUCUUCAUUUUUAAGCCAAGACAGCCAGCUACUGGGUGCUGUGGAUCUAACCCAGUACCAACUAUCUAUUGAUCCCUCCUGAGGUUCUUCAACCUUCCUCCCUCUUCUCCCAGUGGGACAGAUGAAAGGACAAUGCACGUGGACUCAAAGCCUUUCUUUGUCAACUUGCAGUCUUGUCUACCUUUAGUGGGGAUCCAGACACUUACUACUUUGAAUUUGUCUUCGACCUGGUGUCCUUGGGUCAGCAGAUGUCAACUCCCUUUGGAAAAGUGAGCCAGCAGCUAUGCAAAACACAGAAGCCUGGCAGGCAAGUUCCUGUCCCCAGCACACCAGGUGUAUUGCUUUAGCCCUGAGGAUUCUCCCUGCUCCUAUUACUUACUGGUCAAGUUGUCAGAGAAACCUGGAUGAAGGAUAAGUCACUAUCCUUUAGCCUUACCAAGGAAAUUCCAAAUUACACAAGGUUGGGAACAUGAAUUUGGUUCACUUCAGCCAGGUGGCCAGGGCAGGGCUGCAAGCUGAAAAUGCAUCCUAAGAACACACAGGCUUCUAUUUCUCCAAAGACAGCAGAGGUGGGGCCAAAGAUGUGGGAACAGUUCAUAAACCAAGAGUGCCACACAAAUGAAAGGGUUUGCUUGCUACGGGGGAAUGCAAAGGGAGAGGAUCUGGCCCCUAUAAAGGAUUUCUCCCAUGAACAUCAAAGAAUGGACAGGGGGUUGGGCAAGAGGACAAAGGUAGAGCUUGGAAUGUUGGCGCUUCCUCAAAGGCACUUUCUUUGCUGAGAAUCAAAUCCAGAGACUCCAACGAUAACGAUUCUCAUUUUUAUGACCGUUUUAUUAUUGUGGAUUGGCUCAGUACUUUUACCCCCAAAGGCAUCUGAAUGAAGACGAAAAGUGCCAAGUUAAUAUCUUGAGCAAUCUACACCCUCUUUCUGCAACCAAGGUCUUCAUAGACAGAGGUGGUGCCAGCUUGCUGGUGGAACAGUACCUCUGUCAUGUCAUUAGAGCAAGGAUCUCUGUCAUGUCAUUGUAGUGAGGAUCAAGACUAUUGCAGGGCUGGGCAUUUCUGAGUGGAAAA